UCUAUUUCAUAUUAUUAAUGACAAGGAUAUUCAAGAAGCAGUUAGGCAUAUAUAUGCCUAACCGCUAUGAGAAUAAUAAAGAUUUGAAUGUUGCAAAUGGCUGUUUGCUGUUUUUAAUUGUGUGAUGAGUAGCUGAUUCACAUAUAGUAGAUUUAAUGUGUGAUACAUUCAUCUUCAUACACUUGUAAUUUUUAACAUAAUUUGGGGGUAAAUGUACUCCAAAAUCAAAUAACAGGGAAGUUUGCCAUCUUUGAAGAAUCUGUUUUACUACUAGUCUACGAAUGAUGGUCCUUUUUUUUCUACUUUGGUUUAACUAGCUUUGAGCAUGUCUGCUUGUUUUUCUUCAAUGAAAUUUCAAAACUCAUGUCAUUGCAAAGCAACAUAUGGCAUUCUAACAAGACUUUUUGACUGAUGCAUUUAGUUUACAUCAAUGGAAAUUCCAGGAGGAAUCUUUGGUUCUUUGCAUUCUUUAGAACAAAGCAUUUCCAACAGUAAUUAUCCCUUUUACAACAUGGUGAUUCUUUCAAACCUCAUCAAAAUUAAGAAAACUAAUUCAAAAAUUUAAUUUAAACCGU